rnacentral:lncRNA from 10 species
GUUAUGAUCAACUCAGUAUACCACUGGAGGCUACAGGAGCAAACAGCAAACUGUUUCUCAUGAAAGCAGGAUGUUCAAAGCAGGAUGUUGGCAAAAUGACAAACUGCAUCUGCCACCCAGAAGGAAUGCUGAGGGCAGUCAUGCCCCAAGUGCAGUGUUUUUGUGAUUAGGCACAACUGAAGCUUGUUAGCAAUAAUAUGACCCUGUGAUUAAUUGAGCGGCUGACCAAUCAUUACCUCCUCCUCCCUGCUCUUUCUACCCAAUAAAUACAAAGGGCUGUGGAAGCUCAAUGGGCUGCCUUUGCUCAUUAGAAGCAGGGAGCUCUCUUCUUCUUCCCCUGGAUCCUUCCUUUAAAAUAGUUUCUUUUGUCUUAAGUUUUCAUUUCUACGUUUGUCCCUUCAUUCAGUCUCUUAAAUGACGGUCUCAAGCAGUAACAGUAGUAAUUGCUGUAAUGACGGUCUCAAGUAGUAACCAGGGCACUCUGCCACAAGUGGCACCUGAACAGGGACUAACAGGGACUAUCAAGAACAAACGGAGACCUGAAGAGACCUGAAGGGAACUGAAGAGGUCUGCAGGGACAAAUAGAGAUAAGUAGGGAUAAAUAGAGAUAAAUAGAGACAAAUAGAGAUAGGUAAGGAAUGACAGGGACUUGCAGGAAGUAACAGGGACCAUAGGGACAGAUAGGGAUAGAUAAAGACUAGCAAAGACUAGCCGAGAUUAGCAAAGACCAGCAAGGACUAGCAGAGACUAGCAAAGACUAGCAGAAACUUGCAGGGACAGGCAGAGACAGAUAGGGACAGAUAGGGUCCUACAGGGACUUGAACGAGGAAGAUCUGCUGGAAAAGAAAAGAACUACAACCAACCAGAUGAACAAGAAACCCUGUUACAAGUCUGCUGGCAGCAACAUAAGGAAAUGAACAAAAAGUGUGGGUGCCCCCAAGGUGUGUACUACCAUGGAAUGGGAGAUUGGAGGGACACAUGGAUCCCAACCGUGGGCCUGGUUCCCCCAGUAUGAGCUGAAUACGAAGACAGAACAAACCACCAACCGGCAAUUGAAGUGACACAAAGUGAACCGGGUUCUAUAAAUUACCAUGGAAAGUGGUGAGCCAACGAUUUGGCAGAACAAAACCCUGAGGAUAUGCAAACAAAAGGGACUAUGGAAUUUGCAAUUGCAGAUUAAAAUUGAAGAAGAAAACAUUUGAGUUGCAAAUACCGUAUUAAAAGUGGACACUGCUUAUGACUGCUGUAUGCAACAGUUUUUCAGGCCCGAGAGGAACCCAGACAUGCUCUAUUUGCAAACCGACUGCAUGAAACAAAAAGCACGGUAAUUCUGAAGCUGUUGGCUUGGAUGAAAUGAGAAUGUAAUUAAAAAGAAAAAGGUUAGCAAAAGAACAUGCUGGGAAUUGAAAAUAAAAAUCUGAAAUGAUGUCCCAGCCUGCCCUUAAGGUCUUUUCCACCAUGUAGAGAGCUACCUCAAAUGCUCUACUUGUCCCAGAGUCUAUGUUCUUUCACUACUAUUGCCUAUAUCUGUGUUUUCUGCUUUCAAUAAUCUAUUGAAAUAAUCAAAAUUAAUUACAUUCAGCAUUUUUUCUGUAUUACUCUGAUUCUAAUAAUUACCUCAAAUUUAUUUGUGCAUUUCUAUACUAGAAAGAAAAAAUAAUUUUUAGAGUUUUACUAUAUCUUCCCCUUAAUUCUAAGUUGCUUGUCACUAAUUCCUUUCCCAACACUAUGUUAUUUCCACCAAGAACAUUACCAAUAUCUUCAGGAAAAUUCCACCCCAUAUUUUAAGCCAGAUUGAUUAUUGGGAAUAUAAAUACAUUUAAGAAGGAAAGUCUUUUUGACUGUGUUUCUCCACAGACCAAUAGUAUACAAAACACAGAAGGCUUUUAAGCACAUUUCAUAGGGAUCACUGACUUAGAACAGAAGGAACCAUUUCGUGAAACACUCUCAUUUUGCACAUAAAGGAGCUGUGGCCCACAGAGGAAUAUGAUUUACUGAGAGUGACCCAGUUAGUGGCCAUAAACCAAAAGCCCCAAGAUGCUAAAUGUUUGUUAUGAAGAGUAAAAAUCCUCCCAGUUUAUAAGAAGUAACUUCAUCCUUCCAUUUUCUAUUUCCACGAUGACUCCCCUGGCUUAAAUUUUAAUCUCUAUUUUGGAUGACUCCAAAAUCUCAUUCUUCUAAAUUAAUUAUCUAAUACCACAAUGUUGCACUUAUCUUCCUACAAAUCUACUUUCAUCUGCCUUGACAAAGCCAACCCUAAUUUUCUCUAGUCCUCAUUAGAAAUUAUUGCAACAAAAAUUCACAUCCAGUCUGAAGUUUGGGAGCCAGAAAAGAAUUUUCCCAUUAAGAUGAGACAGUAUCAAUUAUUAAGCAGAGGAAGACACAAGAGGGAAAGCAGCUUUCACAUGAAAAAAAAAGAACUCUGAUUUUCUGACACAUUUUGUCAUUGCAGUCAAACUUUCAGAGUUAGAACUAGAGACCUAGAUAUUAGCUAACCCAGCAUUUUCCAAGUAUUCCUCGGAACUCUAGAGGCACAGCAUAGUACUGGUAAUGAUUUUGUGGCAGGAUAGAUUAAGGAAACCUCACAGUUAUACCAAGUUAAAUUCAUUUAUUUCAUGUAAAAUUCUGAUAGCCUUUUAUGCUACUAGGCCUAGUGAUACUCCAAAAUUAUUGGCCAUAUAUCUGAAAUUUAUUUCAGCAAGAAACCCUUUAAAGAGCAUCCCGCAGAGUUAGUGUUUUGAGGGAUAUCAUUGGGGAAAAUGCUGAUCUAGACCAAUUCAACAAAUUGUAACUUAGUUAACACCAGAGUCAAAACAAAAACCAAGUCUACUCAUGUCUGUCUUAGGCCCUUUUGGUCACAAAAACACGUUCAAACCACUUCAAUUAAGAAAAUGGUGAGAGGGGAAAAGACAAGCAGGGAACCUUAUCCCAGGUGGGCUGAUCACAGGACUUCCAAGGCUGUCCCUUAGAAGAGUCACGAUAAUGGCAUCUCUAGCACAAAACUCAAAUUUAGUUUUAAUUCUUAGUCGAAUAAUAAUACAGUAAAAUUUAUUGCAUGCAUAAGGAUAAUACAUUAAAACUACUUAAAUUACAUUUUAGGGCCGGGCGCGGUGGCUCACGCCUGUAAUCCCAGCACUUUGGGAGGCCGAGGCGGGUGGAUCACGAGGUCAGGA